GACGAACGCUGGCGGCGUGCUUAACACAUGCAAGUCGAACGGUAAGGCCCUGCUUUUGUGGGGUGCUCGAGUGGCGAACGGGUGAGUAACACGUGAGUAACCUGCCCUUGACUCUGGGAUAACUUCAGGAAACUGUGGCUAAUACCGGAUAGGAGCUCCUGCUGCAUGGUGUGGGUUGGAAAGUUUCGUCGGUUGGGGAUGGGCCCGCGGCUUAUCAGCUUGUUGGUGGGGUAGUGGCUUAACAAGGCUUUGACGGGUAGCCGGCCUGGGAGGGGUACCGGCCACAUUGGGACUGGGGAAAGGCCCAGGAUUCUAAGGGAGGGAGCAGGGGGGAAUUUUGCAAAAUGGGGGGCAGCCUGGUGCAGGAACGCCGCGUGCGGGAUGACGGCCUUCGGGGUGGAAACCGCUUUCGCCUGGGAAGGAGCGUGAGGGACGGGAAUGGGUAGAGAAGGACCGGCUAACUACGUG
rnacentral:rRNA from 1 species